GAGUGCAGUCGCCGCCUGUCCCGAGACCUGGGCGUCUGUGCAGGGGCCCCCAGCUCCUGAGCCUGGGUCAGCGGCAGCGCUCCUGGACGAAGGCCUCAGGCUGAGCACCUGAGGAGGCGUGGGGGCGGGGGCGGGGAGAUACGGUCCAGCGUCCCAAUCUACCCGCGUCCACGGGAGUAGCAAGGGCACCCACGUUCCCUUGUCCCGCCGGGAACUUCCGUGCGACUGUUGUUUAAAAAUGAGGAAAGCUUUUUAUCAGUUUCUCGUGUUUCUGCUGCUUAGCCUGGCAGGCUCUCACGAACGAAACCCUGUUAAUUAAUGGUCGUUAAUUACACUCCAUUCCACAAACACUGAACUUAAUUACGGAUUUCCAGAAAGCCAGCAUAGCCUCUUGCAAGUGAGGUAUGUAAAGCUUAACUUAGUAGUCAAAGAAAGGAUUCGCAGGGCAAAGAAUUGGCAGUGAUCGUUUUAAAUCAAGUCAGAAUAAUCGAAGCCUUAUUCCCAGUUUGUUAGCUGCGGUUGUAUGAUUUAGAAACACUGAUUUGUUGAUUUAGGAUGUUUGGAUAGACAUAAUUUCAGAGCUGGAAGAAGGACCGCACACCGGUGAAAUAAGGCCCCGCGUGCUUGUUUGCCACUGGUGUGUUUCAUCAAGCCUUGACAACACUGGACUGAGAGAGAGGGCCUUGAGGACAGGAACCUUGACCUUUUUCUUAGUGUUCUUAUUUCUAGCACCUUGCCAAGCAGAUAGUAGUCGAUCAAUAAAAUGUCCAAUCAGUGAAUGAAUAGCAGACGAAAUGAGCAAAGUGCCCAGAGAAGUGACUCUUCCAUAUUUCAAGUGUUUCAUGUGCUACAGAAUCUGUUGAACAAGGUGAAGUUUAAGUGCAUUGUGUGGACUUACAACUUACAAGGGAAGCCAGCUGCCAUGUUAUGAGGACACACAAGCUGCCUUAUAGAGAAACCCACAUGGUGAGGACCUGAGGCCUCUUCCCAACCACCAUGUGAGCGAACAAUUUUCAGAGUGGAUCCUGCCUCCCAAUUAGGCCCUUAGAUGAUAGCAGCUCCUGCCAGCCUCAAUCUCAAGUGAGACCCUGAGCCAGGACCAUCCAUCUAAGUAGCUCUUUAAUUACUGACCCAUGGAAACUGAGAUAAUGUUUGUUGUUUUGAGCCAAUAUGUUUGGGGUUUAAAAUUUGUUAUUCAGCAAUAGAUAACUAAUACAAUGAGUUUAUAAAAGUUAGUAAUUUGCUAAGGUCACAGAGCUAGGAAGUAUUAGAGAUGUUCUAGCCAGUUUAUAAUAGCAAAGGUGACCAUGCAAUUUAUUGUCGAACUGAGACACUUUAGAGAGUAAUAGAAACACUAAUAAUAACUAUAUUGAUACAACAGCUAUAUACUGGAACUCUCCAGGGCAAAUUGGAACAUAGGAUCACCCUAAUUACAUCCUAUGCUCUCUAUUGCUACACAAUUCUGUUUUCAGUAUAAGUAAGUAUAUACAGUAUGGCCUGUGCAACAAUGUAAGUUUAGCACAAAGAAAGGAUAAUUCAUUUAUUCAGACAGAGACUGCUAGCUAGCUAUCCAAUAUUCAUUGCCUGCUUCUUGUUUGGUAAUAAAACCCCUAUAUUGUGUGGUGGCAACAGUGGUCUAGCUGGAAAAAAAGAAACCAUUUCCAGCUUCCUACAGAUGGACAAGAUAUGUCAGUAGAAGUUGUCAGGUGGAGCUUGUAGGAAAGUUCUUUUGUGGGGGCUAUCUUAACUAUCACAAGGAACCUUUUUUGUUCUUCAAUUUCUGUAUAACUGCUGCCUAAGACAUGGAUGUGAUAGUCAGAACUGCAGAAGCCACAUUGUGGACAUGAAGCUAUACUUGGUAAUAUAGGUCAUGAACUAAGAAUUAUAGAACAGAAAGUUUGUGUUUCUCAUAACCAUGGACCCAUCAUAACAGUUUUGAACUGUAAACCUGUAUUAUGCAGUAGAAAAAUAUACCUUUAUCUUUGUUAAGCUGUUAUGACUUGGAUUUUCGGUUAUACCUUGACUAACCUAAUCUUAGCUGAUAUACUCACCUUAAUUCCUCAAACAGAGAUUUAAAUUUUGAGUGCCAAAAAUUUUUAUUCUUAACCUAUUUGGAUAGAAAUUAUGCUAAAUAUACUGACCACUCUAAAAGAGAAGAGUAGCUAAAAGAGAAACAUUGUCAGGUAGUUUUCUUGAUGAUACAAGGUUAUUAUUAUGUACAGAAAGAUGAGUCAGUUCACUGUUUUGGGUCUUUAAAAGUUUAUAUGCUCCAUGGAAGCUCCUCCAAUUGUUGACAUUAAUAAAACAAGUAUGAAUUAAGUCAUUGUGAGCAAUACUCUAAUUUUCAGAUGGUCUGGUGCCAUCACUAAUUUUGUUCCUUCUGGGAGGUUUUCUAAAAUCUCCACCUUUACUUCCUCUAAAACUUGAAGACUAAAGAUUUUCACCUUUCAGUCUUUAUGGAUAUAUUUGGGUUUAAUAGAAAAUGAUGAUGUUCACUAAGAUGUUAGAUACAGAACUCUUAAUUGCAUAAUAGCAUUAGAUUUAGCACAUAGAGACAAAAAAUUAAAGGUUUUAUGCAUUUCAGCAUUUUGUGAAGCAUAAACCAUUCUACAGUUGGAUUUCUUUUCUUCUGAGUUUUGACUAAAUUACUAGUAUGGAGAUGGUUACAUGAAUUAAUUCUAUUCUUUGGUUAUAAGAGAGUCCUUAAAAAACUUUUUUAUUCUGUCUAGUUGUUCUAACUAUUUCAGUUUAGACUAUCUUUAUUAUUAAGAAAAUUUCUAAACAGUUACUUUAAUGAAGUACUCUCUAUACAGAAUAAAUCUUGUUCACAUGUCUAAAAUAUCAAGGAUAAAUAUAUGGAAGAAACUUCAAGGACAACCUAACAAUAUGGCUGACCUGAAAUGCAGUAGUAAAGGACAUUUAUUAAGAAGAAUGAAAACUAAGGCUAGAUGAUCAUUUGAUAGGGAUGUAAUAAAUAUGUGUUGUCUACUAUAACUUUCUUCAAUGAUGAAAAUGUUCGAUAUUUAUAUUGUCUGAACACUUGCAUUACCCAUAUGUGGCUCUUGAGCUCUUGAAAUGUGACUAGUAUGAUGGAAAAAUUAAAUUUCAACUUAAAAAUAUUUUUCAUUGUCACAUGUAUCUAAUGGCUUCCAAAUUGGACAGCAUAGUUAUAGAUGGUAUUGAUACCGAGGUUAAAGAAUCAGAUUUGAUAGAUUCUAAAGUCUCUUCCAACUUUGUAUUGCCAUAGCUGCAAAAAUAAAUGGUGAAACUUUUUCUCCGUUACUGCUCCACUCUGAACCAAAUUUUUCUGUUUUUAAUAUUAGGAAUUCAUUUAUUCAUUAAUUUAAUCAUCAUAGAAUUAGUGUGCCAAGUGCAGUGGAAAAAAAAAGAAGCUGCUCUGGCAUCAACAUUUUUGACCUUGCUUUUCUCUUUCACUGCCUUCAAUAUCUCUUCUCCUCUGGGACACAUGUCUCAUUGUCAAAUGUGAUAGCAAGGUAGCAGGCUAUGGACACAAAACCCUAAAUGCAGGGGCUUCCAGAUUGAGCAGAUAUUUCUCUGCUUGGAAGGAGCAAACCCACAGAAAUGUAUGGGGUCAUGCAGGAAUAAUAAGGAUACUGAGUCAGAUCAAAUUGAUUUUAGUGUAAAUAAUGUGAUGUUACUUGCACAUCUGAGAUUGCGUGUGGGCUGUACAUAAUUCCCACUAUUGCCAGGAUUCUUGCCAGUGUUCCAAGAAUUCUCAAAGGGGCUUAAGCCAAAAUUAAGUUCCCAAUCUCACUGGCACCUCACCUUCUGCAUCCGGUUUAUUUACUCAACCUUGCACAUACUUCAUCCAAACUGAAAAAAUGGAAUAUGGCCCCUUUUACAUUUAUUCCACAAAGGAACCUGAAUGCAUGGUGGUUGCAUGUAACAGAAUUCUGUAGAAAGUCUGAUGGUGAUGGUGGAGGGUAAUAUUUCAGAGUAAUGCAGCGGAGGCCAGCUAACCACUUACGGUUGAAUAGUAGACAUAUUUACAGCCCUCAGCCAUUCCUACCAUGGGAACAUUGCGUUGACUGUAUCUCCUUCUCAGCCUCCUGGCCUGUCAUUGUGUUGUGUGCACUCCUUGCCACCAGACCUUCUUUUCUUUGAUGUCCUCAUUCCUAGGCCCCUGUGUCUUCCUUCUGGGCCAAUGUCAUGUCUACAUCUUUCUCAGAUUUCAUACUGAGCAACUAAGACUUCUCUUUGUUUUGGCCUUUUUUUUUCAGACCAUGUUUGGAACUUACAUUGCAAGACUCAAAAUUUUGAAUGAAAAACUUAAGUUUAAAAUGUUCUUAUUCUAAAAAGGAUUCUGGCUCCAGAGUUUGAAAUAAAAUUUUCUCUUUUUCAUAUAACUAUAUAUGCUAUGUAAGUAUAUAUUGUUAUGAGAAAAAGAUGCCUCAGAGAGGACUUGGCCAUUGUCAUAAAAUCAAUAAAAGGUGUUACUGGGAUUAGUAUACAGGUCUCUUGAAAGGCAUUUAUCUUUCUAUUAUAUUAUCACUGUAAACAAUAUGAGUUAAAAAGAUUUUAUAAACAUGUCUGAGAAUCUUAUACUUACUUACAUAUUAUCUCCAAUAGGAAAUCUUUCUUGACUACCAAAAAUGGCAUAACAAACUUUUGAAAAGUAAGUCAUAUAAAAAUGAAAAAUGCAUAGGUAAAAAAGUUAUUGAACAUAACUUGAUGCAUAUAUGUAUUUUUAAAUGGUAUUUCACAUGGGUACAUUAGUUAAGAAUUCAGCCAAUACUUUGAAAAUCCAGUGUUACAUAUAGGAAGUGGAACUUUUAACCAAAAAGAAAAAAAAAAGAGAGAGAGAUAGAAAAUUUUUUCCUGUUGUAAUUGAGUUAGAGAAGCAAGUAGAUAAUAAUUAUUUUGACAAAAUUAUGCCUUGAUCACCAACAAUACCUUUUGAGGAUGCCAGAAGAUAGAUUUAUCAAUGCUUAUUGAAUUAUAAAACUUUUACUGACUCAGGGCUACAUACAAGAUGCUAUGGCAUAUUGUGGUAGAUGCUACAGCACUUUCAAGAAUGAAGAGGCUGAGGCAGGUGGACUGCUAGAGGCCAGGAGCUGAAGACCAGCCUGGGCAACACAGCGAGACUCAGUCUCUACAAAAAAUAAAAAAUGUUAGUCAGGAGUGGUGGCACAUGCCUGUAGUCCUAGCCACUCAGGAGACUUAAGCAGGAGCCCAAGAGUUUGAAGAUGCAGUGAGCUACGAUCAUGUCACUGCACUCUAGCCUGGGCAACAGAGUGAGACCCUCUCUCUUAAAAAAAAAAAAAGGGAAUGAAAUGAAGUAUUUGUCAGGACUCUUUCAGUUACAAGUGAUAAUAUCCCAAUUCAUAUUAGCUAAAGUGAAAAAGAGAAUGGAUUGAUUCACAUAACCCAGAAGUGCAGUGUUGGUUCUGUCUUCAAACACAACACAAUUCUUUUUCCAGCUCUGCUUUCUACUUUAUGUUGGCCUUACCCUCUCCAACUGCAUCAGGCUGUACAGUUGACCAGAGAAAACAGUUAUAGGUCCUACUUUAGCAAUCCAUAGAUGAUAAAGCUACCCUCUUCUCAAAUAAGUAUCUCAACUCAAGGCAAUGAUUUAUAUUGACUGUGUUUAUAAUAAUUGCUCACCCCUGAACCAAUCACUGUAUUCAGAGAGUGAGAUAUUAUGGUUGGCCACAGGUCAGGUGAUAAACUCCUAUGGGAAUAAUGUGGCACAGCACUGUGGUUGAUGAAUGUUGUUAUUACUUAAGAUGGAGGAAGGGCAGUUCCACAAAGAUAGAGAUGUAACUAGGCAUACAAAUAUAAUAUUUGGCUAAUACAGACUUAUAAGUAACAUGUCUUGUUCUCAAGGAGUUUUCCACAUAUAACUCUUGGUACUUAUAUAGGAGAAAAAGAAUUCCCUCAUGUGCCCUGAAUUUUUUAUUUCAAUAUUAAUCAGUUAUCCCGAUUAUGAAACUUGAAAAAUAUUCCCCUAGGCCUUCCUACUGUUAAUUAAAUCUAUUUUUGUUAGUUUUAAACCAACUAUGAAAAUUAUAUAAUCAUUGGCAUAAUAUUUUUGUGGUCAAAAUGCAAUGUUGGCUUAAAACUUUUUGUCUGUAUCAUAAAUUAUACAUUUAUCUUUAGAUAUUGUGGGAACUAUGUCAACUAACAAGCCAUUUCCUCAGUUAACCCCACUUCUGUGGUUGUGAUGAUUUGAAAACUGUUUCUUAACCUUGCUACACCUUGGUUGGUACUGUAUUUGGAAACAAUUUAUUUUCGCCUUGACAACAAAACUUACCAUUAUUUUUAGAGAAAUUUCAUUUGCUAGAAAGCAUCAUUUGUAUUAUUUUAUACUCAUGCUGCCUGGGUAUAUGGAAUGAAAUUAAAUGCCUGAUGUUUGCAUUACAUAUUUUUACUAAAUGUGUCUCACAUGCAAUAGGGUGAAAUACAGCUUUUAUUGCAUUAAGCUGCCAAGAUCUCUGUGUUAAUUUGAUACUAUAAUACCGCCUAGUCAAUCCUGAGGAAUACAGAUACAUUAAAUUACAAGUAGGCAUAAUUUAUAAACAAAAAGGAUUCUCAUGGUAAUUAUGAAAUGUUAUAUAUUUUCCCUUACUACAGUAUGUAUAAUUUCUAUUCUAGACAAAAAACAUACAUAUAUUUGUGUGAUUUACCUACAAAUAACAGUUGAUUUCACCGUUUUCCCAAGAGAAAGAGAAAACAAUCUUCAUUUAGUGAGUAUCAGGGUUCAAAAUAUUUCUCUGGUGAGUUCAAGCUCAGAAGAGUCAGAAGGGAUCUCCUAUGCCAACUAUCUGUACAUAUCUAUGAUUUCAUCUUACUCUUUAUUUCAGCAACUAAAAUUUCAAAAAUAAGUUUUUAAAAAAAUUCUGAGUAGAAGUUCUGUUACUAUACUAGAAAUGUGUGUUUUCACCACAAGUUCUUUCACUUUAACUGUAGCAAAAGAAAUGCAAGUUGAUCUCCCUAAAAGUCCUUGGGAAGUGGCUACUAUUGAGAGUUUUCUUGGGUUCUCCUCACCUCCUGAGGGUAAAAGAGAACCCCAGGAGGAUUAAGUUUGAAUCUUUCACCUACCACUGGAAAGCAGACAUCUCAGAAAUGUCAAUAUCACUUGUCUAAUAAUCAAUCCUUCUCUUCAAUUAAAUAGCAUUUCCUUCAUGCUUUAACUCAUUGGUUUUCAAACGUUUCUUAGCAGUGGAACCCUUCAAAUGGCACACUAGCAGAAUUCACAUAUAUAAGACUAAGAAAAAGCAGAACCCAGAUGCUGCCAGAGGACCACCGUCAAGUACAACUGAAAACUACAGCUUUCAACACUUCACACCACCUUUGUUUUAUGAUACACCUAUUAUGCUGCAGCUAUGAUGAGGGCAUACAAAUAAAUAAAAGACUUGGUCAUUUCCCUCAGA